CACGAACUUGCUAUGUUUGGUAGCCAUCUUGAAUGUUGCUCUACCCGAGACGGAUAUCCGCCUUUCGGGUGUUCCAGUUACUUUUUUCCGAGUAGGAACUCUGGUAGUUUGAAUUUCCAGUACUACUGCGACACAGUCUUCUUAUCUCAGCACGCUACAUUUUAAUUCAUAAAAUACACACGUCCAUUGCUUUUGCACAGAAGCUAAUUAAUCUGAAAUACAGAGCGUAGCCUAGUCAAUAUUUAUGGCUUUGUAACAUCACAAUGGUUGCUUAUUGCAACCGAGUCUGUGCUACGGUGAGCUAGCAGGCUAAGCUAGUGCUAGCCAUAGCUUAGUUUCUGGUGUGUUUUAGCGAGGUCACAACGUAAAGCGAGGAUUUUAAGACAUGGCAACGGGUAGAGGGAGCGAUUCGGGUGCCUCAUUUGAGGCUGUGCUGGACAGAAAGUUACUCAAUGUGACAAACACAAUGGAUUCCAUUCAAGGAUUGUCAACGUGGUGUAUCGACUACAAGAAGUACCACAGCAUGAUAGUGAGACAGUGGAUCAAGUGUUUGAAGAAAUCUGACACUUCACACAAGCUCAACCUUUUUUACCUCGCCAAUGAUGUCAUCCAGAACUGUAAAAGGAAAAAUGCUCUGGUCUACCGUACCGCAUUUGCUGACGUGCUCCCUGAGGCUUUCUUGCUGAUAAAACAUGAAGGUGAUGCCAAGGUGGUGAAAUCCGUGGAGAGGAUACUGUCCAUUUGGCAGGAGAGAAGCGUGUACUCUGAUGCACUGAUCACUGAGCUCAGGAGUAGCUUAGUCAAAGAGGAGUCCCCACCUGUGACACCAGUGGAGCAAAAAAAUCCAGUUGAGUCCAAGGCAGAACUUCGGUCCAAGAUUGUUGCAGAAUUUGUGCCCCAGGCACUGGUAGAGCAGCUUUCCCAGUACAAGAGGUCCCUGGAGGAGGUGGACCUGAGGGAAAAACAAGUGGCAGCUAUGAGGGUUGAUAUCUGCAGUUCUGAUGCGCUCAAGAAACUAAAAGAUAAGGCAGGAGGAAAGAAGUUCUCCAGGGACUUUGAAGAAGGCAGUACACAGCUACAAGAGUUUGUUAAAUUUUUUGACAGGCAAAACAAAACAGGGGCUCCUCUCCUGGAAGCCUUGAGCAACGCGGAUAUCUUCUAUGAGAUGCAGUACAAAGAAGUCAAGAUUGUUGCCAAUGCGUACCAGACAUUUGCCAACCGAGUGUCCCACUUGAAGCGCAAGCUGGACAAUCUGAAGGCCACCUUACCAGACCUGGAUGAGUCGCCUAUUCCAUCACCUUCUGCUGAUGCACCGUCUCCAACGGGCUCCGAAUCUCCUUUCCACGACCUCGAGCUGACCAACCCCAAUCCAGACGUUGAUGGCUUCGUAAUGGAUGAGGAAGCAGAGCCCCCAGCCCCGAGUCCUCUGUCGUCAAUUGGAGAAUCCCCCAAACGUGAGUCGAAUCUCGGGGAAAAUGAUAACCGUGAAGUGGAGGACAUGGAGCUCUCAGAUGAAGAAAUGGUCAGCGGAGGCAUUAUAGUGGAGGAGCACAUCAAGGGCCCCAGAACCUCCGAUCCAAUCCAGCCACCCAAUGUGGUCACGAAAAACACAGAGCCAUUCGUAGCAACAGCACAGCCUGCCGCACACGGUGCUGCAUCUGUAUCAUCUCCCACAGAGAGUGUGGAAAGUGUCAACCUGGGGAAAAUUGGCUCCAUCCUCAACAGUUUAAGUUCGGCUAUGAAAAACGCAGGACCAUCAGUGGAGAGCCCCUCUGCUACGAGCUCUUACUCAUCAGUAGGGACCAUGCCGGCUGCCACUCAGGAUGCCAGUUCUCUGGUUGACAUCCUGGCAAAGGUGGAUGUGAGUCCUGCAGACAUCCUUAGCGCUCUGUCUAAGGUCCAGGCACAAGGUGGCCUUGAGGGCAUCACUUCUCUUCUGAGCAGCCCUGCUACAAAUGUCCCUGCAGAAUCCUCCAAGACAGGCAAGGCUCCGCCCGCUUCCUCGUUCCCUUCAGCUUCAGCAGCUCCCGCUCAGAGCCCACUCACUGCCUCCUCUGCUACACUUGUGCCUUCAUCAUCAUCUAACGCAACUGUAAAGCAGAGUACAGGCCCCCUAGUGCUUGCUGAGAACAAGCCAACCUCUGCCCCGGUGCGGGGUGUCCACAGAAAUGUAGGUUUGACAGCAGAAGUCGAAGCAACAAAACCAGACAGUUUGGAAUCCAAAAUUCACAACUUCCUGCACGGGAAUCCUGCUUUUAACAGCUUUGACCUUAGCUUCACCAUGAAUCCACCCCACAGGGUGGAUAACCUGAGCCCAGGAACGGGAACAGACACACAGGAUGGAACACCUGUGCGGGAUGAGGGAGGAGGCACCCCAACUCAAGAUGAGGCCAUGGACAUGCCAGCAGGGCCUGAAAGUGGGGCGCCAACUCCCAGAGCCGUCCAGAAGAACCUCCCACAGAACCCAGAGACCACCAAACUGCACCUGCAGCCAGGUGUAGCUCAGAAUGGGCAGUUGUACCAACCAUACACAUAUGGUGACCAUUGUAUGACAGAACCUGUUGCACAGUACCAGCCAAUUCCCAAUCAAGGCGGAGGUCCUGGAGCCCCAGGCAGCACAGUUAGUGCACAAACCAUGGAGGGCUUCGAGGGCAUGGGUGACAGGGGUUGGUAUGGAAAGACAUACUCGGAGGGGGGCUUCCAGCAACCCACAGGUUACAAUGUGACAAUACCUGCUAAAAACCAGCCGUCAGGAGAGUUUGAAUUCCAAGCAGAACAAACUCAGGAGCCUCAAGGGUUUGGCGCUCAGCAAUCUGUUUUCUUUGGAAGCCUCCUUCCUCCUGUCCCCAAGUUACCACCACCUCCAGUUGUCUUUGACACACCUCCUCCCGGAACCAGCCAUGCAACGACUCUCUCAGAGAAGCAGGCAGCACCCCAAACAGACUUUGGGGAAUCGUGUCAGAACAGAGGUGUACCUGGGAUGGUGGUCCAGGACCAUUUACCCAAGUCAAUAUGUCAUCCGGAUGAUCAGCACCCUCCCCCUGACAACAUGCACUACCCAGAAGACAAUGAGCAUUACCACGAGGACGUCCUCCCCCACCCCGGCCCUCACUUUCAGAACAGCCCUUACAGCCACCCAGAUGUUCCUUUUUAUCCACAGGGCAGCCCUCGGCAUCCCCUUCCUAGAAUCAGGGGGCGCCUGACUCCCCCUCACUCACCCUCACAGGACGCUUUUUACAACCAGGAUUACCAGAGACAGAGCCCCCCUCGUCCUCACAAUGUACCCAGACGGCCGCCUCGUCCGCCCCAUUUUGAAAUGCGCCCCCCUGGUUUGCGACCUCCACAUCGUCCUUCCCACCCAGCACACAACCCGUUCCCUCGGGGGCCCCCUCGUGUGCCUUUUCUUCGGUUUCAUGGUGCGGAACCAAGAUUAAGAGGCAAGCGUUUAGGUCCCAGAGGGGGGCUGAAUCCUGGUCCCAUGUUUGCUCCGAAAAGACCCUUCCCACCCCCACGGUACUGACUGUUCAAGUUUUUGGACAAACUUCUAUAAAGGUCCGUUCACUGUCAUGGGUGGUCACCGAUUUAUAUUGAGGAACAACGCAAAAGCCCUGUCUAAAUCCAAAAAAUAGCCAAGACUACAGCAAAUACGGAAGAGAGAUACAGACCUCACCAGGAAAGAAUCUAGAGGCACCCAGGAUGCUGGUGGAAAAAGGGCCGAAGACAGAAGAUGAAAGAAAAUAAGAGCCUCCCUCCCUCCUCUUUUCAUCGUCAGAGGCCCGGGGCCCACACUUUGAUGUGUAACGUGAUGGGAACCUAUUUGGGAACAUCUUCACUGACGCAGGUGUGUGUGUGUGUGUGUGUGUGUGUGUGUGUGUGUGGGGCACCAUGCCGAUGCUUCUCUUUUGGAAUCCACGGCCAUAGGAUGACACAAGCGGGGAGUUGGGCACAUCAUGGAGUGGGAGUAAGUAUCCUCUCAGUGACUUUCGCCAGCGCCUUCAUGGAUUCAUCAUGGAAGUUGAGUAUUUAUUAGGUUGCAAGGCUUUAUCGGGCAAGGGUCGUAUUUGGUAACUUAGAAUUGAGUGAAGGGACGCGACAAGCUUUCAUUUUUGAGUUAAUUGGUUAAUUUCAAUGUUUGAAAAAGGGAAUAAAAACAUUUUGUACAUUUGAAAAGGGCAAAUACUUGGGUAUUUAACAUAUAUAUUUAUUUCAUAAUAUUAUAAUAAGCACAUUAUAGGGAACUUACUGAAAUACUUGGACAUUUAAAAUAUUUAGAUGUAAAGUUGUUGUUAAAAUAAGCACUUCUUGAAAUACUUUGGCAUUGAAUGAAUGAAUAUAUUUAAUAUUAUUAUUAAAAUAAGCCAUUCAUUGGACACUAGUUGAAAUACUCAGGCAUUAAAAGUAUUUAUAUUUAAUAUUAUUAUUAUUAUAAGCACUCUAUAGGACACUUUAUAGGGAACUUAUUGAAAUACUUGGACAUUUAAAAUAUAUUUUUAUUAAAAAAAUGCACUUUAUAGGACAUGAGUUGAAAUGCUCGGGCAUUUAAAAUAUUUACGUUUAAUAUUAUUAUUAAAAUAAGGGCUUCAUAGGACGCUUGUUGAAAUACUUGGGCCUUUAAAAUUGAUAUAUAUAUAUAUUUAAUAUGAUUAUAAAAUAAGCACUUUAAUGCACACUUGUUGAAAUACUUGGGCAUUUAAAAGUGUUUAAAUUGUUAUUAAAAUAAGCACUUUAUAGGACAUUAGUUGAAAUACUUGGGCAUUUAUAAUAUGUUAAUAUUUAAUGUUAUUGAAAUAAGCCCUUUAUAAGGUAUUUGUUGAAAUACUUGGGCAUGUAAAAUAUAUUUAUAUUUAUUAUUAUUCAAAUAAGCACUUUGUAGCAUACCUUUUGAAACACUUGAGCAUUUAAAAUAUGUAUUUAAUAAUAAUAUUACAGAAAGCACACGAGUGUAAGUACUUGGCCAUUUCUAAUGUAUUUAUAGCUUAUUUAAUAUCAUUAUUUUUAAAAUAAUUGCUAAAUGUCCAAGUAUUUCAACAAGUCCCCUACAAAGUGCUUAUAUACCCUUUUUAAAUGCACAAAAUGUUCCCCAUCGGUACUGUAUCAUAAAAUUUUAAUUAUUUCUGUUUUUUUAAUUUAAGAUAUGAAUAGUUAUGAUGACAUUUAUACUAUGUAAAUAAAACAUGCUUUCAUUUUGUUUCAAUUAUUACCGUCUACUAUCAUUCCGUUGACUGGCUGUGUCUAUUUUGACUAAAGUUUCGGAACCAAAUAUGGCUAGUAAGGGUAGUAUCAGUAUCGGAUUGAUACUAGCGUGAUGACUUUUAUAUUUUGCAGUUGUCUUUAUUUUAAAAAAUAUCUUCAUUAUAUAAAUUUGUAUGGUUACAUUGUUGAUAUUGUUAUAUUUAUAGAAAUUUAGACUUGAGGUUGGAAAAAAUAAAAAAUAAAAAGUAUCGAUAUCACUCGCCAUAUCGGCAAAACUAGCCCAGCAUGCACUUGGUAUCAUCGAUACCACAAUUUGCAGUAUCGCCCAGCCUUCGUGUUUACCUCGCCUAUACGCGGUGGAGGCUUAUGGGGAUUUAGGGACUGGUGGCAGAUGGCGGUCUUAAUGUUAAAGAGCGGCCGAGAUGUUCCCCAGUGGCAAAUAAAGGAUCACUCGUGAAUCCAUAGCGAGAUCGGGCGCAGCGAGCCUGCUUCGGGUUGUAAAGCGAGUGAGUCCAGGCGUGUGCGUGAGCAUGUCCGCCGCCUGCUUCUUGCAUGUGGCGCCUUUGUUUACAAGCAGCCACAUUGCAUCGCGGGCCCCUUACUGACACGUCAAAUGAAAUAUUAGUCUUUUCAUCCUCAAAGACAUGCAGUAUAAAGGGAUUCCUGCGCUCACACUGCAUUCGAGCUAAGAUGUGGAAGCAUUUCAGGACCUCGGCCAGAUCCACCAUCACCAGAACAAAAGACGGAUCUGCGUUGCUUGAUGUCAGGGAGCGUCUCCAACUCCACUGUCUACGUUAAAACGAAGACCAAUGGGACUCCUCGUCAGCUCUAUUACAUUUGUUAGCAUACUAAUCGUAAGGUCAUUGAAUGAUUUUGUGAUGUUUACCUACAAUAUGUAAAAUUAUCAAGCUUAUGAUCAAAGAUUUUUGACCAAAAACACACAAAAAUUUGUUUUUUUCCAACAAAUGUAUUUGUUGUAAAUACAACAACAUAAGACAAUGUCAACAUCAACCAGCUUCUGUUUUAUUACGUACUAUUGUUUGAGCUAUUUUGCUUGACCACUCCUGCCACUUCACGCAGCUUUUCAGAAAUAGAUGAAUAAAUCAGAGCUGUUUUGUGGUCGAAUACGGCCUAUUAUUAGUUUAAAAAUAUGCACAUUUAAGCAAAUGUUACAUAUUUUAGGCCUGAAUUAAGCAUUAUUAAGGAUAACAAAUGGCUACAUGAAGUCGCAUUCAAACAUAAGGCAUUCAGAAGGCGCAUUCAAAGAUGUUGUGAUGAUAUGUAGUAUUCCAUAGUGGUCACUAGGUGUCAGUAAUGUUACAUUGGAUGAGACAAUAAUUACCACAGGAAGUACUGUAUAAAUCAGGAAGUAAAAAUAGAACAAUAACAAGGAAUUAUCCUAACGCUAAGGUGUGAGUCUAUAUUUUGUCUUAUUUUCUCUUAUUAUGUCUACUAUGUUGAGUAAUAGGAGCAUAAAGGUGACCAUAGGGGUGUUAUUUCAUGUCCAGAGGGCUCUAAUAAUGUCUAAAAAAAGUUUAUUUAGGAGGUCGUAAACAGGUUUUCGAUGCUCUGACUAAGAAAGUAUUCCAUUUAUAAACAGAUAACCCUACUUCACGGAAAUUCACUUAUCACGGUUUCAUUCAAAUCCUUUGGCUUUUUGCCCUUAAAGCCCUCCUGUGUCCAACAACUUAUUCAUUGAGUUCUCUUCACGUUAGCAUCAAUCCAAUACUGCUACUACCCAUGAUAUCGAUAUUAGUGAUAUUUGGAUCGAUCCAAUGAAGGCUCUCUUUUAUAAGAUGGUCAUCUAAUCUGUCUUAUCUUGCUGUAUGUUACAGGUAACGCUCCUCGGAUGCAGAGACGGAGGCGGAGCUUGUCCAAGUCCUUUAUGAACUGCUCACGUAGCGCGGCUACAUGGACAAGCACAACAUACAACAAAAAUAGCCUAAUCUCCGGAUAACAAACAUGGAUGGUGUGGUAAAACAAAUGAAAAGGCACUGGGAGGAAAAUAAGUCCAUCGAAAAAUGCAUACCACUCGGCCAAAAGGACGCUUGGGACAAAACAAGACGAUUGAAAAAGCAUUUGAAUGACAGCCACUAGUAGUUUUUGCUUUUGUUUACUCAUUUUGCACUACAGCAAUCCCUCGUUUAUUGCGGUUCCAGACCUGACUGUAAUUAGCGAAUUUCCGCAAAGUAGGAUUCCUUAUUUACAAACGGAAUAUUUUAGUAAACCCUGCUUAUGACCUUCUAAAUCCGAUUUUUAACAUUAUUAGAGCCCUCUAUACAUGAAAUGACCCCCCCCAUAGUGACCUGUACACUCAUAUUACCCAAUAUAGGAGACAUAAUAAAAGAAAUUUAUGACAUAAAUGUUGUCAUAAAUGUGUUCAUUGAAAAAAAUACUAAUACCAGGCUGUAUCCAAUCAUGAAACAGCAUGAUUUAUUAAUGAACAUCUUUGAACAACUCAAAGACAAAAUAAGACAUAAUAAGAAAUAAUAUAGACGAACACAUGGGAGCAUUGGGAGAGUUCCUUGUUAACAGUCAGUGUAACAUUAGUGACACCUAGUGGCCAGUGUGGAGUACUACAUACCAUCACCGCAUCUUUGAAUGCGUCUUCUCACUGCCUUUAUAUUUGCAUUUGAGUUAAUUCAGACAUUUUUAUCCUUGAAAAUGCUUAAUUUAGGGUAGAAAUACAUAUGUAUUUUUAAAUAUGCAUAUUUUUAGACUAAUAAUAGGUCGUAUUCAACCAGGAAACGAUGUAUUUAUUAAUCUAUUUUUGAAAAAAUGUAUGUAUUGUCUUAUACUGUUAUACAUUUUUUUUGUUUUUUUGCCUGAACUCUUUGUCCUGUGUUUUAUUGUGUGAAUUAUGCAAUUCUAACCAGGUGCUGAGAUUGUGUGAAUUCAAACUUCCACCGUUCGCACAUUUCUCAACCCAUUCCACCAUGAAAACACUCCCACACUUCCAGGGCGUCAAACUAACAUGCCAAAAAUCCCAACUUUUCCCGACGUUCCCACUUUUCCUCUGAUCUUAAUUGCUCAACUGCUUCAGCAUUUUUCAACUAAUUCUAACAAAUCCAACGUUCAGCACCAUCCAGACAUUAUGGCUACAUAUUUUCACAUUGAAAAAAAUUCAAAUUUUUCACCCAAAUUCCCACUUUUCGAGAAAACGAAUAAACUCUUAAGGAUUUUCCUUUGAUCUUAAUUACUGUAGGUUCCUUUGAUCUUAAUUACUCAAUCACUUAAGCAUUUUUCAACCAAUCUUCAGCAUUCUUCACUCACUAGAAACGACCAGUUUGGAUAAUCCAUAAUGCCACGCAUAUAGAGAACAUACGAAGCCUUUAUUUCUAAAAUUACAGAUAUUACUAUUGGUCGAUUUUGUAAAUUUUUUAACAGCUAAAAUGAUGCAUAAAGCAAACAAUAACCUGCCACCCAAAAAUGUCAUACAGUACUUUUCUACGGAGAAAAGGAGGAGAAAUAUGAUCUUGCAUAUCAUUUUUAUUCCUUUUAUUUUUUUCAUUUUUAUUAUUACCCUUUUUUGCUCAUUUUUGUUCCUCUCCCAACUCAUCAGGCUUGGGCAUUCACACGCAAUGUCACCAGACAUUGCAAUCAUCUAGUUUAUUUUCCCCUCUAAAACGCCACCGAUUCAAACCAAUCCAGCAUCAAAUCGUUCAGAUCACUCGGGAAUAGUUUGCUGUCUAUUCCGGUAUUUCAAAACGUUCCCAGAUUUUCCAAAAAUCCCAAAUUUCCACCACAUUUUUCCUAUUGAAAAGGAAUGGGACAUUUUUCAAACUUGCACCAUUCGCACAUUUCGCAACCGAAUCCAACCGUGAAACCAUGAAAGCAUUCCACUCAUUCGGGGCGUUCAAACGGACCAUUUGGUCACGUUCCAAAAAUGUUAUUUUUUGCAAAAUUCACACUUUUUUUGUAACUACUUCCUCGUCUAAGAUUUCAAUAUCCGGAUUCCUCAAUUCUUUCAAACCAUUCCAACAUCAAACUGCUCAACAUGUUCAGGACAUUCAGGCUACCUAUUUUCCACAUGACAAAAUUUCUCAUUCCACGCAAAAUUCACA